AUUUUCGGAUAAUCGCAUGAAAAACAGGUUUUUUCAUGAGGAAAGUCCAUGCUAGCACGAGCUGAGAUGCUCGUAGUGUUUGUGCUAGGUGAAACAAUAAGCCUAGGGACGCCAUUGGCGUUACGGCGAGGAAAAGGGCUAAGUCUUUGAUAUGCCUUAGUACCUCUGAAAGUGCCACAGUGACGGAGUUUUUAUGGAAACGUAAAAAAUGGAACGCGGUAAACCCCUCAAGCUAGCAACCCAAACUUUGGUAGGGGCACGAGAUAGCUGGAAAUGAACGGACUAUCUUGACUGGAAACAGUAGACAGAUGAUUAUCGAAGGAAGUGGUACCUAGUCACUUCUGGAACAAAACAUGGCUUAUAGAA
rnacentral:RNase_P_RNA from 1 species